AAGUCGUAACAAGGUCUCCGUAGGUGAACCUGCGGAAGGAUCAUUACCAAAGUAUCAUUACUUACCACUUGUGAACAGUUUCAAUGUCCUUGGGGGAGAGAGAAGGACUAACAGUGUGUUAGCACACCUGUCUUUCCUUCCAUCUCCCCCAGCGGGGUGCCCGCUGACUGCUUGCAGUUGGUGGGAUACUCACGCACUACAAACCACAUGUGCAAAGUUAAAACUGGUGUAUGUACCUUCUCUCUUUUUGAGAAAUCAAAAAGAACUGACAACUUUUAACGGUGGAUCUCUUGGCUCGU
rnacentral:misc_RNA from 1 species